rnacentral:rRNA from 1 species
UGGGGAAUCACGGUCAAUGGGCGAAAGCCUGAACCUGCGACGCCGCGUGAGUGAUGAAGGUCGUAAGAUCGUAAAACUCUUUUCAGGGAUCUUAAAGCACAACCGUCAACAACGGCUGUGUGUGACUCUCCCUGGAAUAAGCCCCAGCCAACUACGUGCCAGCAGCCGCGCUAAUACGUAGGGGGCUAGCGUUAUCCGGAAUUACUGGGCGUAAAGGGUGCGUAGGUGGUUUCUUAAGUCAGAGGUGAAAGGCUACGGCUCAACCGUAGUACGGCUUUGAAACUGGGAAACUUGAGUGCAGGGGAGGAGAGUGGAAUUCCCGGUGUAGUGGUGAAAUGCGUAGAUAUUAGGAGGAACACCAGUGGCGAAGGCGACCUACUAGACAGUGUCUGACGCUAAGAUACGAAAGCGUGGGGAGGAAACA